GUGCUGCUGCCGCGGCCGCCAGGGAGGGAGGUGUCGGAGGGCGGGCCCCGCGCGGUGCUGGGUCCAGACGGGCGGUGGGUCCGAUGGGCGGUGCUAGGUUCGGUUCGGAUGGGUGGUGCUAGGUCUAAAUGGGCGGCGCCGGAUCCGAUGGGCGGUGCUGGGUUCGGUCCGGACUGGCGGGUCCGGGUCUGGACGGGCGGUGCUGGAUCCAAAUGGGGGUGCAGUGCUGGAUCUGGACGGGCGGUGCUGGGUCCGAACGGGCGAUGGGUCCCAUGGGCGGUGCUAGGUUCGGUUCGGACUGGCGGUGCUGGGUCUAAAUGGGCGGCGCUGGGUCCGAUGGGUGGUACUGGGUCCGGACGGGCGGUUCUGGGUCUGGACGGGCGGUGCAGUAUCCAAAUGGGCGCUGCUGGGUCCGGACGGGCGGUGCUAGGUUCGGUCCGGACGGGUGGUGCUGGGUCUAAAUGGGCGGUGCUAGGCUCAGCAGGGGACCGGUGGGCGUGGCGGCACAGGUACGGAGCGCAGGGCCGGUGGAGCGCCCUCUCCGAAGGGCCCUGCGCUCCCCGCGCUCGCUGCUCCUCCUGCCCGCGCAUUGCCCCGGGGCUGCUGCGUGUUUCUUCCAGGGUGAUUCCUUUCCGCUGGGUCACUUCAAAGCCGACCUUUUCAAGCUGUUUUCUUCCGCGGAGGACACGUUGUUAGGCUUUGUGUGCAUUUCAAGGGUCAUGUUUUCUGAACCGCGCUCUGCCGCUCUUGGGGUGUUCGAGCCCCCACACUGCUGUGCGGUGUUCCUCUCACAGAGUGAGGUUGGAGGGUCCCACUCCCUUUGUGUGUCUCCUUAGAAAACGCCUCUUCUCUCAGACACAUCGUUAUCUG
rnacentral:lncRNA from 1 species